CUCUAGCAGCACAUCAUGAUUUACAUACUGUAGUCAAGAUGCGAAUCAUUAUAUGCUGCUCUAG
ensembl:miRNA